rnacentral:lncRNA from 1 species
CCUCCAUCAUCCUCCAUCGAUGAAAUCUUUGAUAACUUGGAGGUAUAAGCAGAAAUAUUGGCACUUUCAUCAUGACCAUGGUCAUGACACAGAAAUGUGCUUCCAACUGAAAGAUGAGAUUAAGACUCUCAUCUGAAGACGGUACCUCAAAAAAUAUUUUUGAGAGCACCAGAACUAAGCACCAAAGGAGCCAUCUUGGCAUCAGAUCGAUAAGGACAACAAUAAUAACCGACCAAUAGCUUGUGUGAUCAACAUGAUCUCGAGCCUUGGAGUGGC